AUGCAUGUCGGUACGAUCAUGGAGCCGAAUGAUGUGACUUUCUUUGAAGAUAUCUUUCCCAUGAAGGAUAUGGCUACGUCAUCUAAUCAGGAGAUGCCUAGUUCAUCGAAUCAGGAAACGGUUACAAUUACUGAACCUGCCAUUUCGAUGGAACACUUUGAAAGUCCUGUGGAGGAGAACAAUGAAGUUCCUACUAGGAGCAAGAGACAGAGGACUGCAAAGUCUUUUGGUGAUGAUUUUCUUGUGUAUCUCAUACAUGACACUCCCAGUUCUAUUUCGAAGGCCUGUGCAUCGGAAGAUGCUGACUACUGGAAGGAAGCGGUUCGUAGCGAGAUGGAUUCUAUCUUGGCGAAUGAAACCUGGGAGAUAACUGAUCGUCCUUAUGGGUGCAAACCUAUAGGAUGCAAAUGGGUAUUCAAGAAGAAGCUUAGGCCUGAUGGUACUAUAGAAAAGUACAAGGCUCGGCUCGUGGCUAAGGGUUAUACCCAAAAGGAAGGUGAAGACUUCUUUGAUACUUACUCACCUGUGGCUCGACUGACCACUAUUCGAGUUCUACUUUCACUAGCUGCCUCACAUGGUCUUCUCGUUCAUCAAAUGGAUGUUAAGACUGCUUUCCUAAAUGGAGAGUUGGAUGAGGAAAUUUAUAUGGAACAACCAGAUGGGUUUGUAAUAGAUGGUCAGGAAGGGAAAGUGUGCAAGUUACUGAAGUCUUUGUAUGGACUCAAGCAAGCACCCAAACAGUGGCAUGAGAAGUUCGAAAGAACUCUAACAGCUGCAGGAUUUGUUGUGAACGAAGCUGACAAAUGUGUGUACUAUCGCCAUGGUGGGGGCGAGGGAGUUAUGCUUUGCUUGUAUGUUGAUGACAUACUGAUUUUCGGAACAAAUCUGAAUGUUAUUAAGGAGGUCAAGGAUUUCCUAUCUCGCUGUUUUGAGAUGAAGGAUUUAGGAAUGGCUGAUGUCAUGCUGAACAUCAAGUUGUUGAGAGAUGAUGAUGGUGGAAUUACAUUGCUUCAAUCUCACUAUGUGAAAAAGAUCUUGAGUCGCUUUGGCUAUAGUGACUGCAAGCCCUCUCCAACACCAUAUGAUGCAAGCCUGCUGCUUCGAAAGAAUCGAAGAAUUGCUAGAGAUCAAUUGAAGUAUUCUCAGAUUAUUGGCUCGCUUAUGUACUUAGCCAGUGCUACAAGACCUGACAUCUCUAUUGCUGUUAGCAAACUGAGUCGGUUUGUUUCAAAACCAGGAGAUAUGCAUUGGAAAGCUCUAGAGAGAGUUUUGCGUUAUUUGAAAGGCACUGCGAAUUAUGGAAUUCACUACACUGGGCAUCCAAAGGUGCUUGAAGGUUAUAGUGACUCAAACUGGAUCUCAGAUGCUGAUGAGAUAAAGGCCACGAGCGGUUAUGUAUUCACUCAUGGAGGUGGCGCUGUUUCUUGGAAGUCUUGCAAGCAGACCAUCUUAACGAGGUCAACAAUGGAAGCAGAACUCACAGCACUAGAUACAGCUACGGUCGAAGCAGAUUGGCUUCGCCGGCUCUUGAAUGACUUGUCGGUAGUUGAGAAACCUGUACCGGGUAUCCUUAUGAACUGUAACAAUCAAACUGUGAUCACUAAAGUGAGCAGCUCAAAGGAUAACAUGAAGUCAUCAAGACAUGUUCAGAGAAGGGGCUAA
rnacentral:rRNA from 1 species